UAAUCUUUGAAAUUCGAAUUUGCAAAGAAAUUCUAAAAGUAAUUUAUAUAUAUGAAAAUAAAUUGUUGUUCGUUAGUCUCGCUAAAACUCGAGAACGGCUGGACUGAUUUGGUUAAUUUUUGUCUUGAAUUUGUGGAAGUUCAGAAAAGGUUUAAAAGCUAUUUCAUUUGAUGAAAAAGGAAUGGCAAGCACUAGCAUAUUAAACAUGUCUUAGCAUUAGAGGAAUAUUACUGGCAAAAGGAUGGCUUAAUGGAGGAUGUUGUCGAAUCAUUUAUUAUUGAAGUACGUGAGGAGAGUGACAUCAAGAGGAGAGUACAUCAAAUUCUUCAACUACUGAUUAAUCUGAUUGCGAGAGUAAUUAACAAGAUUUCACGUUCAUUUUGUUCAAUAAGUAUCAGUACAUUAAAUUAAAUUCAUACGUGAUCAA